rnacentral:rRNA from 1 species
AACGAACGCUGGCGGCAGGCUUAACACAUGCAAGUCGAACGCCCCGCAAGGGGAGUGGCGCACGGGUGAGUAACGCGUGGGAAUAUGCCCUUCGGUUCGGAAUAACACAGGGAAACUUGUGCUAAUACCGGAUACGAUCUACGGAUGAAAGAUUUAUCGCCGAGGGAGUAGCCCGCGUAGGAUUAGCUAGUUGGUGAGGUAAUGGCUCACCAAGGCGACGAUCCUUAGCUGGUCUGAGAGGAUGAUCAGCCACACUGGGACUGAGACACGGCCCAGACUCCUACGGGAGGCAGCAGUGGAGAAUAUUGGACAAUGGGCGAAAGCCUGAUCCAGCCAUGCCGCGUGAGUGAUGAAGGCCUUAGGGUUGUAAAGCUCUUUCGCCAGGGAAGAUAAUGACGGUACCUGGAAAAGAAGCCUCGGCUAACUCCGUGCCAGCAGCCGCGGUAAU